UACGGAGGGGGCAAGCGUUAUUCGGAAUUAUUGGGCGUAAAGGGCGCGUAGGCGGCUAGAUGUGUCAAAGGUGAAAUCCCUCGGCUCAACUGAGGAACUGCCUUUGAAACUGUCUGGCUUGAGGCCGGGAGAGGGUAGCGGAAUUCCCAGUGUAGCGGUGAAAUGCGUAGAUAUCAGGAGGAACACCGGUGGCGAAGGCAGGUCUCUGGGCCACUACUGACGCUGAGAAGCGAAAGCAUGGGGAGCGAACAGG
rnacentral:rRNA from 1 species